AUUGAACGCUAGCGGCAUGCCUUACACAUGCAAGUCGAACGGAUUGGCGAACGGGUGCGUAAUGUAUCGGUCCGUGCCCAUUAGCGGUGGAUAACUACGCGAAAGCGUAGCUAAUACCGCAUACUCUUGGAGCGGCCGAUAUGGGAUUAGCUAGAGGGUGGGGUAACGGCUCACCAAGGCGACGAUCCGUAGCCGGUCUGAGAGGACGACCAGCCACACUGGGACUGAGACACGGCCCAGACUCCUACGGGAGGCAGCAGUGGGGAAUUUUGGACAAUGGGGGAAACCCUGAUCCAGCCAUCCCGCGUGUGCGAUGAAGGCCUUCGGGUUGUAAAGCACUUUUGGCAGGGAAGCGGUACCUGCAGAAUAAGCACCGGCUAACUACGUGCCAGCAGCCGCGGUAAUUC
rnacentral:rRNA from 1 species